rnacentral:rRNA from 1 species
GGGAAUCUACCCUUCUCUACGGGAUAGCUCCGGGAAACUGGAAUUAAUACCGUAUACGUCCUGAGGGAGAAAGAUUUAUCGGGGAAGGAUGAGCCCGCGUUGGAUUAGCUAGUUGGUGGGGUAAAGGCCUACCAAGGCGACGAUCCAUAGCUGGUCUAAGAGGAUGAUCAGCCACAUUGGGACUGAGACACGGCCCGAACUCCUACGGGAGGCAGCAGUGGGGAAUAUUGGACAAUGGGCGCAAGCCUGAUCCAGCCAUGCCGCGUGAGUGAUGAAGGCCCUAGGGUUGUAAAGCUCUUUCAGUGGGGACGAUAAUGACGGUACCCACAGAAGAAGCCCCGGCUAACUUCGUGCCAGCAGCCGCGGUAAUACGAAGGGGGCUAGCGUUGUUCGGAAUUACUGGGCGUAAAGCGCACGUAGGCGGAUAUUUAAGUCAGGGGUGAAAUCCCGGGGCUCAACCCCGGAACUGCCUUUGAUACUGGAUAUCUUGAGUUCGGAAGAGGUAAGUGGAAUUGCGAGU